AUCAGAUCAGAGCCGCAGUUGUAACCCAAGCCACAGCUGUGGCAGCACCAGAUCCUUAACCCCUGUGCUAGGCUGGGAAUCGAAACCUGCUUCCCAGUGCUUCCAAGAUACCACAGAUCCCAUUGUGCCACAGUGGGAACUCCUGAGGCUGCAAUAUUAGGGUAUAGUUUCUUCUUCAGGAAGCCUUGGUUUCUCUCCCAAGCCCUUUUACCUGAAGCCCACCCACAUGAUCGAGAGUAACUCCCAUUAUUUGAAAUUGUAUGAUGGUAGGUGCUAACCACAUCUACAAAAUGCCUUUACAGCAACACCUAGAUUAGCGUUUGAUUAAGUAAUGGGUGCCACAGUCUCACCAACUGGACACACGAGACAGCAUCACAGCAUCCUUUCCUGCCUCCAUACCUUUUCAAAAGCUGUCCCCUCUGCCUGGGUGUCCCUCCCAGGCUCCUCGGCCCAAAAGCCCCCUCCUCUGUGAAGGCUUCCCAGAUUUACUCAAGCAGGGUGAGCCCCCUGCUUUGGCCCUCAGCACACCGGAGGCUCAAUUCUGUCCAGCACUGAAUCACACAGCACCACAGAUAUUUGCCUAACUAGACUAAGGGGUGGAAGCUGGGUAGUUUUUUUCAACCUAGUGUCGCCACCAUGUAGCACAUGAAGGGGGCAGAAUAAAUAUUCAUUAAAUGAGUCAAUUUGUUAUAGACAAAAAGAAGAAUGUGAGGGGAAAAAAAAAAACGUGAAGCACAGCGGAGGCCUGGGCAGCUUUCCUUGCAUGCAAAACCCACCAACGCCCACAUUUGACCCCUCUCAGCCUCGAUCUCAAUGUCUUUCCCUCCCUGCCUUGAAAAGUGUGCUUGGGGUUGGAGGUGAAGGCAGGCAUGAAUACAGAAGGUCACCCGUGGCUGCUUUCCGUGGGAGGUUCUGCAAUUGGUAUUCCGCAGGAUGUGGCAUUUUUCAGCUUCUUGCUGGAAAACACCGAGCCGUUGUAAAUCAUUCCAAUGCAGCUGUCCGAGUGAUAAGUGCCCGGGAAUUGGGAAGGGACAUGGGGACGUGCUCCUGCGGGCCCCCCCCGCCCCCCGCCCCAGGAGCCACGCAGGGCUAUUUCUGAGUCCCUGCAUUUUAUGCUGAAAGGCAGGGGUCCUAGUCCCUUGGCUUCUGAAUCAACAGGAGUCAGAGCAACAUUCGUUCUCGUGGUGGAGUCCACAGAGAGAGGAUGCACGGGCCCAGGUCCGAGCACUCUGGAGAUGUGGCCACCUUCCUAAGAAAUCCACUUCGGAGCUUGGUCAACUGUGGACACAUUAUUCAAACUCCCUGAUGUUCAUUCUACUUCCAUGUAAAACAGAGACAAAAAUAGUAGCUGCUAUGUCGAGUUGUAGUGAGGAUUAAGCGAAGCACUUAUGACAGUGCCUGGAACGUGGCAGCCACUGUAUACACGUUGGCAGUCAGCACGGUCAUCACUGCGUCAUGACCACAGCUUCUCCGCCACCCUCAUUUCAUAGCAUCGGCGUCAUAAUCACAUACGGCCAACAUCAUCGUCACCAUCGAGGUCGCCGUUACCAUCCCAUCAUCAUCGCCACCGUCACCGUCAUCAUCGCCGUCACUGUCACAGUGUCAUCAUGAUUCUCUUGUCCAGUCUCCCCUUAGGCCCUAAUCUAUACCAGUUUCAGAGACUUUCUAGAGAGGGAAAGAUAGACUCCUCUGUCAAGACGCUUGGCAUACAGACAUUCCCUUUGUGGCUUGGUGAGUUACAAACACGACUAGUAUCCAUGAGGAUAUAGCUUUGAUCCCUGGCAAUGCUCAGUGGGUUAAGGAACUGGCAUUGCCAUGAGCUGUGGUGUAGGUUGCAGACGUGGCUUGAAUCUGGUGUUGCUGCAUUCCUGAUUUGACCCCUGGCCUGGGAACUUCUGUAUGCCACAGGCAAGGCCCUUAAAAAAAAAAAAAUGGCAUGCAGAUAUCCACAGGUGCUGCAACAAAGGCUUGUUCACGGGGCACAGAGAAUAAAUAAAUGAAGAUUUUUCAAGAGGAGCAAUAUUUGAACUGACUCUUUAAGAAGGUCCAAGAGAAGAAAUUGGUAAGGCAGACAGAGGGUGCUGUUUAGGGUGCAAAAUAACAUUCCAGGCAGAGGAAGGACAUGGAAGCUUUGAUCUGCAAGGCACAGUUGGGGAGCUCUAUGACCUGGCACAAAACCUGGAUAUGAGAGCAGAGCUGAUGGCUCCUCAGCACAUCCUGAAGAUGCUGUCAUGGCUACAGACAUUCGUGGCCCUCCACACAGGCUAACAGACGUUCUAAGUAGAUGAAAAUUUCUGCUCUAAGAUGUCUUCACAGCCUCACUCCAUCAUCUCCGUAAGCAUGCACAUGAUGUUAGAUGGAUAAAUCCCAGGUAAAUGGUCCUGGGUCCAGUAUCCUUCCUCAGCCCAUGAGAGCCAACAUAAAGAGCCACCUCAAGCUUCCUCGGAGGUUGGGAUCUCCUCAUCCAUGCCGUAUAAGUGCGGUGCGAACAGCUCUCACUGAACAGGCUUUCAUUUUUACAUGCCGGCUACUCUUCGAGGCACUUAAUAUGCAUCUUACUAAACUAUCGGAAGAAUCGUAAGGAAAACAACUUACUAAGCCUCCUUACCAGAUGAGAACACUGAAGCUCCAAGAGCCUGACGGGCACAUCCCAGGUGAGGCAGGCAGUGAGUGAUGGACCUAGGAUUCCAGUCUUGUGCUGUUACUGGAAGAAGUCUCUGGGUUACUCUAGAGCUACAGUGGCCAAGGUGGUAGCCACUGGAUGUAUGUGGCUAUUUCCAUGUAAAUGCUAAUUCAUUCCAAUUAAAUACAAUUUAAAAUUCAGCUCCAAGCUGCACCCGUCCCAUUUACAGUGUUCUGUUGCUGCAUGUGACCGGCAGUUCCUGCAUCAGGUUAUGUGAUGAAGAACUUUUCUAUCAGCCGUUUCUCUCUAGGGAACAGAGCUGCCCUAGAGAACCCGAGACACCCUUCCGGUACCCGCCUGGUGCUGUCAGCAGGAUCAUGCCUCAUUUAGUUGAAGCUUUGCAGCAUCAUACUUAAGACACUCCAGAGACCCACAAACCUCCCCUUAUAAGGUUACCCCCAGAACUACCCCAUUUGGAAGGUGAUUAGGCAAUAUGAAUCAUGAGAGGUGCGAUUAAUCAAAGCAAAAGGCGUAGAAAGGAGUCUGCAAGCAUAGACACUCACUGGGAAGCAGACGAGGUGGCUGAGAUGGCCGCCCCCAGCGUGUACACUCCCCUGGCUUCAGAACCACAAAGCUGGCGUCAUACCACUGUUGGAGGGCUUUCUGCUGCGACCCUCAGAUUUGCCCUUGACCGUGCUGUAUGGGUAUUAGCUCAUUUAGUUUCAGCCCAGGUCUGUGCUGACGCCACCCCCCUGCACACGGCACGCGCCGUGGAGAUGGGAUUUUGACCUCACAUUUUGGCGUGAGAACUGGGUUCAAGUCUAAGUCUGCGUCUCUCUGCUGUCUGGCACAAGUCCCUUUGCGGCUCUGGAGGACCUCUUAUGCAUCUGAAAAAUGAGAUCUCAAAAAAUGUGUGUGAUGGUCGUAUGUCAUGAAAUACGUGAAAAUCCCCCCUUCCCCCCAGCCCCCGCAGGCUGAAAAGUACUGCUCUGAAGGUCAUUGUUUUCACUGAACUUCACGGUGCUUCCAAGGGCUCCAGUGAGUAUCAGAUGACAGACGCAAAAGGAGAGGGAGAAUUAAUUCCCUUUAUUGGAGCACUCAUUUCACACGUGAAGACAGCUGGAGCCAGGCUAGAAUGGCCCAUGAGAGGGACCCCGGGGCAGAGGCAGAGACUGGAACCUCAGACUCCUCCUUUACCUGCCUUUCCACCUCCAGCACAGCUGUGAGAGUUCCCACUGUAGCUUAGCAUGUUAAGAACCUGACAUAGUGUCCAUGAGAAUGGGGGGGGGUCGAUCCCUGGCCUCGCUCAGUAGGUUAAGGAUCUUGUGUUGCUGUGGCUGUGGUGUAGGCCGGGAGCUGCAGCUCUGAUUCAGCCCCUAGCCUGGGAACUUCCAUAUGCCACAGGCGUGGCCAUCAAAUUAAAAAAAAUUUUUUUUGAAUAGAGGUCCUGGAAAUCAUUUAUUGAGCAUGUAUCAUGGGCCAGAUCAUUAACACACAUGCUGGUGGUUAAGCUCUAUGGACACACCCUUAUUGUACAGAAAGGAAAACACCAUGGAGGGGUCAAGUUCGCUGCCCAAGGCCAUGACACUGAAAAUUGGCAGAGGAGGUGAUACAGCCCAUGUGUUUCUGACUGAAGGCUUUUCAAAGCUCACUGUCCCCCAGGGCGGCACCGUUGUGUAACUGCCGAGGGCCGCAGUGAUGGAGGGAGAGAGGAUGUAAUGCUGUCUGCACCGGGGCGGGGCACUGCUGGGGCCCCUUCCCCUGCUGCUGAUCAAAAUGCCCAACAAGACUGACAGCCCUGGAACGUGCUAUUUUGCCAAAGUUCCUUGGUCCCUCCAGCCGGCUGAGAGCAGCAGCGGUGCCGAGCAAAGCUUCCUGGAAGGGAAAGUAGAGUUGGGUCCCUGGGGAGGUUUGCCCAAGGCAUCGAGAAGCUCCCUCCACUCCAAAGCCUUGGAUUUCCUCCUCCGUCAGGAUCUCCUUGUCUUUCUAAUUAGAUUUCACUGAACUUUUUCAGUGAAACCCCUUCCGGAGAAAUUCUCUAAUGAAAUGAAGAAGCAAUAUUCUCAAAUUAUUUGGGGCAAAGACCAUCUCCAUUUCCCACUUAGAGCAGAAAUUAAAAUCCCACCUUGACCUUUCAGAGAGAAAAGGCCAGGUUUACUCCGUUGUAUCCAUUUCAGUUGCCUCCUCUGCCUUGUCCAGUCCUCCUUCUCCAUCGCCUUCUCCUUGCAAAUUUGUGCUUCGGGUUCAGAACAAAGGUCGUAACUGUCUCUGAGGAUUAGAGGAUAAGAUUUACUGGGGUUUUUGACGAAGUCCUCACCUUUUGCCUGAGUUCUCCUUUGCCGGUUAACCAGCAAGCUUGUGGUUAUUUUGACGCUGUGAUCAUUUUGGUUUUUUGAAAAAAACAUGACUCAUUCUUUUGGCUUACAGCCUUUGUCCAGCUUGUCCUGCCGCUUCUGUGUUUAUCAGGUGCUGCACCCUCUGCCUCCACAGCCCCUGAUGUGUCUAAUAGAUGGCCAGCCACUAUUGGUGCACAUUGCUUUGUGUGUCUUUCAUAACGCUGAACACCUCCUGCCCUUAUUUUGUGUGAAUUUCAUUUUCCCUGUCACUUGAAUUUAAGCCAUAAGAAAACAGAGACUUUGUGUUUUUAGUUCAGGGCUCCAUCCCCAACACCAGGAAGAGACACGCUAAAAAUAUUUGUUGGAUAAAGAAAGCCCAGAAGGAGCUCCCAUCGUGGCUCAGUGGUAACGAACCAGACUAGCCACAUGAGAAUGAGGGUGCAUCCCUGGCCUCGCUCAGUGGGUUAAGAAUCUAACAUUGCUGUGAGCUGAGAUUAGGUUGCAGAUGCGGCUCGAAUCUGGCAUUGCUGUGGCUGUGGGUGUAAACCAGCCGCUGCAGCUCUGAUUCAUCCCCUAGCCUGGGAGCCGCAGAUGUGGCCCUAAAGAGGAAAGAAAGAAAAGCCAUUGUUAACCCUCAGGAAGAAGCUGCCCAUCUCAGAUUCCAGAUUUAAGGUGAGAAAAGAAAUGAAAGGCAGUACUUGGCGCCUGCAGGGGAAACAAAUUAGGGGCUUUGUAUCCGAGGGUGGCAGACAGAGUGCUGUCAUUAGUAAAUAUUUCCUAUACCAUGUGGGACAAUCAUCUCCAAGGUCACUUGUCAACCACUCUAGGUGCAUUUGGGGUACGCAAUCUCAGUCCUUCACAGCUUCCCUUCACGACAGGUUCUUCUUUCAAAGGGCUCUCCUUCUGUGGAAGGAAGGUGUACAGAAGUUAGAGAGAUGGUCAGAAUCACAGGUCGUUGAGGGCGGAUGGGAUCCUGACUGCCCACCUUGCUCUAGGGCCGCCCUCAGUAUGAAAAUCAGCCUCCGAGAGUUCUAAGAUCAUUAACCAGACAGGCGCUUAAUAUUCAAACAGAAGUGAAGUGACCUAAGCUAAAG
rnacentral:lncRNA from 1 species